rnacentral:rRNA from 1 species
CACCGCGGUUAUACGAGGAGCCCGAGUUGACGUUCCACGGCGUAAAGGGUGGUUAAGGAAAACACAAACUAAGGUCAAACCCUAUUAAAGCUGUCAUACGCAUAUAAUUAGGAGAGGCCCAAUAACGAAAGUAGCCUUAUUAUACCUGAUCCCACGAAAACUAUGGCA